GUAGUCCUAGCCCUAAACGAUGGGUACUAGGUAGUAGACUAGACAUGGGUUUACUGCCGAAGCUAAAGUGCUAAGUACCCCGCCUGGGGAGUAUGGUCGCAAGGCUGAAACUCAAAGAAAUUGACGGGGGCUCACACAAGCGGUGGAGCAUGUGGCUUAAUUCGAGGCUACGCGAAGAACCUUAUCCUGGACUUGACAUGUGCGAAAGCGCUAGGUAGUAGAACCCGGAAACGGGGACGAAUGCCCGCAAGGGUAGAGCCUAGUACAGGUGCUGCAUGGCUGUCGUCAGCUCGUGUCGUGAGAUGUCGGGUUAAGUCCCAUAACGAGCGAAACCCUUACCCUUAGUUGCAACCGCAAGGGCACUCUAGGGGGACUGCCGGUGUUAAACCGGA
rnacentral:rRNA from 1 species